rnacentral:rRNA from 1 species
ACGAAGCGGUGACGUGGAGCAAACCUCAGAAAGCCAAUCUCAGUUCGAAUUGUAGGCUGCAACUCGCCUACAUGAAGUUGGAAUCGCUAGUAAUCGCGAAUCAGAAUGUCGCGGUGAAUACGUUCCCGGGUCUUGUACACACCGCCCGUCACACCACGAGAGUUUACAACACCCGAAGUCAGUGGCCUAACCGCAAGGAGGGAGCUGCCUAAGGUGGGGUAGAUGAUUGGGGUGAAGUCGUAACAAGGUAUC